CGUGUUGUGUUCUCUGUAGACACAGAGGGUGGUGGUGGUGAGUGGUGGUGGUGAGGAGGUAGGGUGGUGGUGAGUGGUGGUGGUGAGGUAGGCGUUGGGGUGAACGUGGCGAUGCGUAGGCGGGAGUGACCUUUUGUUGCAACCGACAACGACGGCCACUCUCUCACCAGACAGGGAAAGCCCCCUGCUCUAUAAAUACCGCGCCCCACACACACAUACACACUCUCACUUAAACAUACACACAUACACACACUCUCACACAUACACACACUCUCACACUCUCACACUUACACACACUCUCACUUAAACAUACACACACUCUCACUUACACAUACACACACUCUCACACAUACACUCUCACUUACACACACUCUCACUCACACAUACACACACUCUCACACUUACACACAUACACACACUCUCACUUACACACAUACACACACUCUCACUUACACUUACACACAUACACACACACUCACACACACUCUCACACACACAUACACACACUCUCACUUAAACAUACACACAUACACACACAAAGGCCAGAACGGUACACGAGGGGGUUGGGUGGCCAGCACCACGCCCGACCGCCUUUGUCUCCCCAGUGGCGAUGUUUACACACCGCACCAGGUACUCAUUUAAGGCUGAGUCGACCUAGGGGAGGCCCAAGACCGGUUCAGAUAAUCGUUACUGGUGUUAGCCGUGAGCGGGAAUCGAACUCGGGUCGCCAGGUUCAUAGCGCAGCGCGCUAACCACUACACCACCGCUCCCCACAACACACACACACACACUCUCACUUACACACAUACACACACACUCACACACACUCUCACUUACACAUAUACACACACUCUCACUUACACACACACACUCAUACUCAUACUCUCACUUACACACACUCUCACACACACAUACACACACUCUCACAUACACACACACUCUCACUGAAACAUACAAAGAUCCCCCGUAUAGCCUGAACAGACUGUAGGGGCAAGUGCUGUUAGCGAGCACCUAUGAAGGCCGGAACGGUACACGAGGGGGUGGGUGGCCAGCACCACGCCCGACCGCCUUUGUCUCCCUAGUGGCGAUGUUUACACACCGCACCAGGUACUCAUUUAAGGCUGAGUCGACCUAGGGGAGGCCCAGGACCGGUUCAGAUAAUCGUCACUGGUGUUAGCCGUGAGCGGGAAUCGAACCCGGGUCGCCAGGUUCAUAGCGCAGCGCGCUAACAGCUACACUACCGCUCCCCACCACUGAAACAUACACACACUCUCACACAUACACAACAACAACAACCGCCAUUCGCCACUAAGUGGCGGUGACGUCACCACGACGCUUGUGCCAGGCCAAGUGCACCUUGAGGCCACGUGAAGUGUCGAACGCCCGCUGACAGGAGGUCACGGGGCAGACCCAGGUGCCACUGGUCGACUGACCGAGAUGACCGAGAUGACUGGCUGAUGCACCACCUGUGCCCUCUACUGUACCAACUCGCUGUGCUUUAGCCACCCGGCGCUCCGCUCGUUGUUGUGAGCGUCGCUCCUCCGCCCUCCGUUGUUGUUGGAGGGCAACUGCCUCCAACUGCCCAGUAGCGUCCUUCACGAGCCUCCUCCACAGAGGCCGAUCUUGACACCGCUGGUACCAGUCAUCGGCAAGUCCACUCAGCUCCACGUCCUCCUGUACCACAUCACUCCAUCUCUUCUCUAGCCCGUGCCGCGCCCGUUUAGCCCCCUCGAUCCGGCCGAACAAAAGCUGUUUAGGCAUGCGGUGGCUGGGCAUGCGGGCUACAUGACCCAGCCAACGCAGGCCUUGCCUGCCGGAGAAGCUCACCGAUUGGACUGUGACCAGAUCUUUCGGAAUCUGAGCUUCUCACACAAUCCAGCCAGAUUAACCCCGGGAUGUAACGUAGGUAGGCCCUCCUGAAUGUCUGUAACCGGCGCUGAUGUUCCAUUAGAGGGGUCCACGUUACGCAAGCAUAGAUAAGUGAAGGGCAUAUAUGACUGUGGCCGAGAAGACCCGGAGCUUUGUUUGGAGCGACAGGCCAGCUAGCUUCAACAUAGCAGCGUUUCGUAGCCGGUAAAACAAAAAUGCCGCUCGACUGAUUCGGAGCGAGACAUCCGCUGCCAAACCGGAGAUGAUGUCAGGGGAACUCCUUUCACUCCACAACUGCCCCAUCACUCCUCGAAAGUUGAGCGAGUGUGGAAUGUUUUGAUGACACAAAGUACCCAGGGUCACACUGGUUCCGGACAGAGUUGGGACUGGACGGGCGCGGAGAAGUAUGGCUCAAACGAACACCACGACGACAUGGCAGGGGGGCCUUCAUCCAGCAGUGGAUUGGCAAAGAGUGGCCGUACUGAGACAUCACCGCACCACGGCAGGAGACAUCACCGCACCACGGCAGGAGACAUCACCGCACCACGGCAGGAGACAUCACCGCACCACGGCAGGAGACAUCACCGCACCACGGCAGGAGACAUCACCGCACCACGGCAGG